AGCACCAGGUAAUCUUACUGUUUUGGGUCUUUCAUUUACAAUGCAAUAUAAGAAAUUGGCAAAAUUUACAUGUCACAAGGUUCAAAGAAAGAAGAAAACCACAAAUCAUCAGCUAUUGCCUCCUUGUCUUAGCAACUUCUUAAACUCUUCACCAGUGCUCUUUAGCAUGUUAGCCACAGGCAAUUUAACCCCACUUUGUAAGACUUUAAUGUUUCUUGGUUUUAUCCUCUUCUCUAACCUGAAAACAAACAAAUAAGUGCCACCUUCGAUAUUUCAUGCAGGUAAAUGAAACAAAUAGUUUCAACGCAAACUAAAGUCUGAGAUGAUUUGAAGUCAGUCAAGUGAUAAAGGUGAUGUCAGUUAGAAUUGCCUAUGACUUAGCAUUCAAUAGAAUUAACUCUCGCCCAGAAGACACAAAUAUUUAUGAUCCUGAGAAUACCUAGUUUUACUGCUCCAGCAUGCUGAAUGAAAGCGAUUCAAGCCAUACUACGGUUUACCACUACUGAAAGCGAAUGACAAUCUGAAGUUGCAUCGUAUCAAUUCAGUGACAACAGAUUGUUAUCUCAGAAAGUUCUCAAAAAGCUAUUUCAAACAAUUACACUCGCAAGUCACGUGGUUAGAUUUCAGGAAUGCAAUGUCAUUACUCAACUAGUAAAAGGAAACAAGAGACAGAGAACCAUGGAGCUCAUUUACAUUAAAUGCAAGAGAUAUCCAGCACAGAUACAGAAUUUACGAAUAUCAUAAAAUAUAGAAUUAAUUUGUGCACACCUGAUAGUCCAAGAGGGGAAUGUUACUUUUUCGUUGACAGCCAGUUUUCUAAUGAACGAUUUUUGUUGUCUUAUUCAUGUGUCAUUGGAGCUUAGUGAAUAAAAAAUAGAGCCAAACCACCCAAGGUGUAUCCACUAGUACAUUUCUAUUCAAGCAUUAUUGACGAUCCCCUCUUCCCCAGGGUCAAAACAAAGUUAUUGACGAUCCACCGGCACUACUGCUAAGUGAAAUCCGUGGUGUGGGGAUCCAACACAAGAUAGAGAAACUGCUUUUGAAUUUUUAAUGAAACAUCGUGAAUAUGACUUCUCGUAUAAAAUGGAUGAAUGAAUAUAAAGGAUUAGGCACGUCAUUAUGUUUUCUAGAUCACCAUGGCUUUUCACU
rnacentral:lncRNA from 1 species